rnacentral:rRNA from 1 species
GAUCAUGGCUCGAGGACGAACGCUGGCGGCGUGCUUAACACAUGCAAGUCGAACGGUAAGGCCCUUCGGGGUACACGAGUGGCGAACGGGUGAGUAACACGUGGGUGAUCUGCCCUGCACUUCGGGAUAAGCCUGGGAAACUGGGUCUAAUACCGGAUAGGACCAUGGACUUCACGGUUUGUGGUGGAAAGCUUUUGCGGUGUGGGAUGGGCCCGCGGCCUAUCAGCUUGUCGGUGGGGUAAUGGCCUACCAAGGCGACGACGGGUAGCCGGCCUGAGAGGGUGUCCGGCCACACUGGGACUGAGAUACGGCCCAGACUCCUACGGGAGGCAGCAGUGGGGAAUAUUGCACAAUGGGCGCAAGCCUGAUGCAGCGACGCCGCGUGAGGGAUGACGGCCUUCGGGUUGUAAACCUCUUUCAAUAGGGACGAAGCGCAAGUGACGGUACCUAUAGAAGAAGCACCGGCCAACUACGUG